GACGAACGCUGGCGGCGUGCCUAAUACAUGCAAGUCGAGCGGACUUUCAAGAAGCUUGCUUUUGAAAGUUAGCGGCGGACGAGUGAGUAACACGUGGGCAACCUGCCUGUAAGACGGGGAUAACUCCGGGAAACCGGGGCUAAUACCGGAUAAUAUCAUUCUUCGCAUGAAGGAAGGUUGAAAGGCGGCGCAAGCUGCCGCUUGCAGAUGGGCCCGCGGCGCAUUAGCUAGUUGGUGAGGUAACGGCUCACCAAGGCGACGAUGCGUAGCCGACCUGAGAGGGUGAUCGGCCACACUGGGACUGAGACACGGCCCAGACUCCUACGGGAGGCAGCAGUAGGGAAUCUUCCGCAAUGGACGAAAGUCUGACGGAGCAACGCCGCGUGAGCGAAGAAGGUCUUCGGAUCGUAAAGCUCUGUUGUCAGGGAAGAACAAGUACCGUUCGAAUAGGGCGGUACCUUGACGGUACCUGACCAGAAAGCCACGGCUAACUACGUGCCAGCCGCCGCGGUAA
rnacentral:rRNA from 1 species